rnacentral:rRNA from 1 species
GUGGGGAAUAUUGGACAAUGGGCGCAAGCCUGAUCCAGCCAUGCCGCGUGUGUGAAGAAGGCCUUAGGAUUGUAAAGCACUUUAAGCGGGGAGGAAGGUUCGUCACCUAAUACGUGACGGAAUUGACGUUACCUGCAGAAUAAGCACCGGCUAACUCUGUGCCAGCAGCCGCGGUAAUACAGAGGGUGCAAGCGUUAAUCGGAAUUACUGGGCGUAAAGCGCGCGUAGGCGGUUGUGUAAGUUGGAGGUGAAAUCCCCGGGCUUAACCUGGGCACUGCCUUCAAAACUGCACGGCUAGAGUAUGGGAGAGGAAGGUAGAAUUCCAGGUGUAGCGGUGAAAUGCGUAGAGAUCUGGAGGAAUACCGAUGGCGAAGGCAGCCUUCUGGCCUAAUACUGACGCUGAGGUGCGAAAGCAUGGGGAGCAAACAGGAUUAGAUACCCUGGUAGUCCAUGCCGUAAACGAUGUCAACUAGGUGUUGGGGAACUUGAUUCCUUAGUGCCGCAGCUAACGCAUUAAGUUGACCGCCUGGGGAGUACGACCGCAAGGUUAAAACUCAAAUGAAUUGACGGGGGCCCGCACAAGCGGUGGAGCAUGUGGUUUAAUUCGAUGCAACGCGAAGAACCUUACCUACUCUUGACAUCCACAGAAUCCUGCAGAGAUGCGGGAGUGCCUUCGGGAAUUGUGAGACAGGUGCUGCAUGGCUGUCGUCAGCUCGUGUCGUGAGAUGUUGGGUUAAGUCCCGCAACGAGCGCAACCCUUGUCCUUAGUUGCCAGCGAGUAAUGUCGGGAACUCUAAGGAGACUGCCGGUGACAAACCGGAGGAAGGCGGGGACGACGUCAAGUCAUCAUGGCCCUUACGAGUAGGGCUACACACGUGCUACAAUGGUCGGUACAGAGGGUUGCUAGCCCGCGAGGGUACGCCAAUCUCUAAAAGCCGAUCGUAGUCCGGAUUGGAGUCUGCAACUCGACUCCAUGAAGUCGGAAUCGCUAGUAAUCGCGGAUCAGAAUGCCGCGGUGAAUACGUUCCCGGGCCUUGUACACACCGCCCGUCACACCAUGGGAGUGGGUUGCACCAGAAGUAGUUAGCCUAACCGCAAGGGGGGCGAUUACCACGGUGUGAUUCAUGACUGGGGUGAAGUCGUAACAAGGUAACC